GAUGAACGCUGGCGGCGUGCCUAAUACAUGCAAGUCGAGCGAACAGAUAAGGAGCUUGCUCCUUUGACGUUAGCGGCGGACGGGUGAGUAACACGUGGAUAACCUACCUAUAAGACUGGGAUAACUUCGGGAAACCGGAGAUAAUACCAGAUAACAUAUUGAACCGCAUGGUUCAAUAGUGAAAGGCGGCUUUGCUGUCACUUAUAGAUGGAUCCGCGCCGUAUUAGCUAGUUGGUAAGGUAACGGCUUACCAAGGCAACGAUCCGUAGCCGACCUGAGAGGGUGAUCAGCCACACUGGAACUGAGACACGGUCCAGACUCCUACGGGAGGCAGCAGUAGGGAAUAUUCCGCAAUGGGCGCAAGCCUGAUGCAGCCACACCGCGUGGGUGAUGAAGGCCUUCGGAUUGUAAAACCCUUUUGUUAGGAAAGAAAAACAGAGGAAUAAACCGCGGCGAUCCUGACGGUACCCGAUGAGAAAGCAACGGCUAACUACGUG
rnacentral:rRNA from 1 species